AACGAACGCUGGCGGCAUGCCUAACACAUGCAAGUUGAACGAGAUCUUCGGGUCUAGUGGCGCACGGGUGCGUAACGCGUGGGAAUCUGCCCUUUGGUUCGGAAUAACAGUUGGAAACGACUGCUAAUACCGGAUGAUGACGAAAGUCCAAAGAUUUAUUGCCAGAGGAUGAGCCCGCGUAGGAUUAGCUAGUUGGUGUGGUAAAGGCGCACCAAGGCGACGAUCCUUAGCUGGUCUGAGAGGAUGAUCAGCCACACUGGGACUGAGACACGGCCCAGACUCCUACGGGAGGCAGCAGUGGGGAAUAUUGGACAAUGGGCGAAAGCCUGAUCCAGCAAUGCCGCGUGAGUGAUGAAGGCCUUAGGGUUGUAAAGCUCUUUUACCCGGGAUGAUAAUGACAGUACCGGGAGAAUAAGCUCCGGCUAACUCCGUGCCAGCCGCCGCGGUAAUAC
rnacentral:rRNA from 1 species